UCUGACAUGGUAUAGGAUCUCUUGCUUGAGCAGUGGGUUGGACUAGAAGACCUCCAAGGUCACUUCCAACUCUAUUGUCCAAAUUCUGUAUUCUAACUCAUGUACAUUUUAUUUGGUUUGAUUUUCCUAUUUGAGACAGGCUUCUUACUUUCUAGAAGCCUCCAGUUUUUAUUUCCUUACCAAUUCCCUGCUAUCUACAAAGCAUCUUUAUCUCUUCCUUAAUCUCUGUUUCCAUUUUUUCUUCGUCUCUCCAAGUAUUUUCUUUGUUUCUCUUUCCUCUGAGAUUGGUACAACAAGAAACUGGCACUCAGCCCCUUUUCUUUUCUUUUUUUCAAGUGCCUGCCAGCUUAUACCACACCUUAAUUCAUUUAUUUAUUGUUCUGCUAUAACCAAAUGGAUGUUUUUGUACCUACUUUUUUUCCUUUUAGGCUGACCAUAGGAAUCUCUGAGGAGCAAGACAGUCUCCAAGGGAGAACAGAUGUGAAUUUGUGUUGGAAAGAAAGACUGUGUACUUCAAAGGAGGAGAACAGGGGUGUAUUAAGGGGAAAAAAAGAGAAGGUGUGGCCCCAGAAAAGAAGAUAAAAUCUUGUUUUAGCCUCAUACACCUCCACCACCAUUACUUUGUUUAGUGUUUUGGAAAUUAAUCAUGUAUUUAGAUGAAUCUUCCUUCACACUGGAAAUAUUGAACAGGGCCAUGCAUCUUUCUGUGAGUUGUUAAUGCUGAUCGUUAGGUUUUACUACUGUGUAUCUUAAAAGGUAGGAAUUUUUUUUUUUACUCCGAAUGAGCAAAACAUGAUGAUGUAAAAUCCCAAAGGCCACAGCUUUGUUGAACAGCUACAGCUUUUAUUUGCUAAAGAAGUUCAAGGUUGGUUAAAUCAGUUGUACCUUUCAGCUGUCAUGGAGCAAUAGAUAUUGAAAAAUGAACUUUUUUAAAUGUAUAAUUGUAUUUCCUUUUCUCCUUUGUUAGGCAAUCUUUAUUGAAAAACCAAAACUGGAUAAUUCUUCUUUGCAAAGUGUCCUAAACUAAUGUCACAGCCAGAGGUCUAGAUCUAGCAUAUGAUGCAUAUUUACUGAAUAUCAUACAAUUGGGGAUUCUUAGAUCAGAGACAAGGUGUAACUCCUGAUCCUGGAUCCUAUUUGUUCCGAUUGCUGCCAUGCCUAUUCUCCUCCCUGCAUUCCUGGGUCUCUGCUUCUGCCAACUGAUUUCCAGUGACCUCUCUGAAAAUGACACUGUGGUGGUCACCAGCUCUGGAUCCAUUAAAGGCAUGAGAGUCAUAACUAAGUCUGGUGCCGUAAAUGCCUAUCUAGGAAUUCCAUAUGCUGAGCCUCCAGUAGGGAAACUGCGCUUCCAGAAACCUAUCCCACAUCAACCAUGGAGCCAUGUCUUGGAGGCUACCCACUUUGGGAAACCUUGUCACCAAUGGACCUCUUUUAGCUAUCCUUAUUCAAGAAUGUGGGUUGCCAGUAAACCCCAUUCUGAAGACUGUCUUUUCCUCAAUAUUUGGGUGCCUCACCCCCAGUCCUCUGUGUCAGUCCCUAUCCUUGUUUGGAUCCACGGUGGAGGAUUUAUUGUUGGUUCAGGGUCUUCGGUCUUAUACAACGGGUCAACAUUGGCUGCUACCGAAAAUGUCAUUGUGGCAUCUAUGAACUAUCGGGUGGGGAUCUGGGGCUUUCUCUUCUUCCCACCGGAAGCCCCAGGGAACAUGGGUUUAUGGGACCAAUAUCUGGCUCUGAAGUGGUUGAAGGAAAAUGCAGCAGUCUUUGGCGGAGAUGCAGAUAAGUUGACUCUCAUUGGCCAUAGUGCGGGAGCAGCCUCCGUGGGAUUCCAGCUCCUCUCUCCUGUAAGCCAAUCCCUUUUUGACCAAGCGGUGCUCCAGAGUGGAGCUCCCAAUGCACCCUGGGCUUCAAUGCUGCCUGAAAAGGCCCAGAAAUAUGCCCGUUAUUUAAUUGGUCUGUUGAACUGCAGAAAAGGAAACCACAGUGCCACAAUGAGCUGUCUCCAAAAUAAGGACGUCGGUGUGUUUCUGAAUUUCAGUUCUUUUUUCUUACCCACCUACGAUGGGGAUUUCCUUCCUGAAGAUCCAAAGAGACUUCUAGAGAAGGGGACAAUUCCAGCAAAGCCACUACUUAUAGGUAUUACAAGGGAUGAUGGCACAGUCUUUAUACCUCGAGUUUUCAACGAUGUAGACGAUGACAAAAACGAUACCUUGGAGCAGGUCAUAUCAGGUAUAGACAUUAUAUUACGAAGACAUUUUGAAGAAGACAUUAUCAAGGCUGUAGCACUUAAGUACAAUGAAGAUAAACAAGGGCUGAAUCUGAAUCGACAGAUCUUGGCUCAUUUUAGUAGAGAUUACUAUUUUGUGUGCCCACUAAUUGAAAUUGCUGCAAGGAUGGUAGCAACGAAGGGCUUUGUGUAUGUUUACUCCUUCAAUCACCAAAUUUCGACUUCCAUCUGGCAAGAAUGGAUGGGUGCAGCUCAUGGAGUUGAGGUCCCUUUUCUCUUUGGAACCCUCUCAUCACUCCCAGGACUCAGUCAAUCAGAUGCAGAAGCUGACAGGGUACUAAGCCAACGGGUGAUGCAUUACUGGGCCCAGUUUGCCAGAAGUGGGAAUCCCUCCAAAUUCGCAUCUGGUGAAGUUCAAUGGCCACAUUACAAUGCUACUGAACAAAGCAUCUACCAGAUCAGCACCGAGGCACCUCAAAUCAUGCAGUUUUUGCCACGUGAGCAGUGCAGCUUUUUGGCAACCCACAUUUAUAACACAACAGGAAUUGAUCCUAAUGAUCACGAUAAGCUGUCCAGGAGGAGCACCAAGGGCUCAAUCCCUCCUCCAGCUUUUGCUUGGUAAGCAGGUCGUCUGCUUGAAGAACGCUUAGCCAGACGCUCCGUGGCACCUUUGAAGAGAGUAUGCAGAGAGUCCUUUAUCUCACAAUUUACACUUGCCUUGUCUUCGCACUCAUGGCAUAUAGUUUGAAGUGCCACUAUUGUGCUCGGAAGAAUGCUGGGAAAAGCUGCCAUAAGAAAGCUACUAUCUGCUUUCCAAAGGAGGAAAACAAAUGCAUAACAAUCCAAGUUAUUUACCG